AGAGUUNGAUCCGGGCUCAGGGCCCACGGUAGCGGCGGGCCUAACACAAGCAAGUCGCACGGGAAAGGGCUUCGGGCCCGGUAGCCUGGCGUCCGGGGGAGUACACGUAGGGGAUCUACCCAGGAGUGGGGAAUUACGUUCCGUAAGGAACGGUAAUACCGCGUAGGACCACGACGGCUAUGGCCGACGAGGUCAAAGGUGGCCUCUAUUUAUAAGCUAUCGCUCCAGGAUGGCCCUGCGUCCCAUCAGCUAGUUGGUAGGGUAAUGGCCUACCAAGGCAUAGACGGGUAGCUGGUCUGAGAGGAUGAUCAGCCACACUGGCACUGAAACACGGGCCAGACUCCUACGGGAGGCAGCAGUGGGGUAUAUUGGUCAAUGGGCGCAAGCCUGAACCAGCCACGCCGCGUGAGUGAUGAAGGCUUUCGGGUUGUAAAGCUCUGUGGGGAGGGAAGAAAACGGCCGGUAAGAAACGACUGGUCCUUGACGGUACCUCCUUAGCAAGCACCGGCUAACUCUGUGCCAGCAGCCGCGGUAAUACAGAGGGUGCGAACGUUGCUCGGAAUUACUGGGCGUAAAGCGCGUGUAGGCGGGUUCGCAAGUCAGACGUGAAAUCCCCGGGCUCAACCCGGGCAACUGCGUCUGAUAACUGCAAGCCUUGAGUACCGGAGAGGGUGGCGGAAUUCCUGGUGUAGAGGUGAUAAUUCGUAGAUAUCAGGAGGUAACACCGGUGGCGAAGGCGGCCACCUGGACGGUAACUGACGCUGAGACGCGAAAGCGUGGGGAGCAAACAGGAUUAGAUACCNUGGUAGUC
rnacentral:rRNA from 1 species